rnacentral:misc_RNA from 1 species
AAAGUCAUAACAAGGUUUCCGUAGGUGAACCUGCGGAAGGAUCAUUAUUGAAUUCGGCCUUUUGGCCUUAUACAUAAUAACACUGUGAACCGUGGCUUCGGCCCAAACUUGAAGUCUUGAAUGUGAUAAAUAAUAACAAAAUACAACUUUUAACAACGGAUCUCUUGGCUCUC